AACCUGCCCAAGAGAUCGGGAUAACACCUGGAAACAGAUGCUAAUACCGGAUAACAACAGAUGAUGCCUAUCAACUGUUUAAAAGAUGGUUCUGCUAUCACUCUUUGGAUGGACCUGCGGUGCAUUAGCUAGUUGGUAGGGUAACGGCCUACCAAGGCGAUGAUGCAUAGCCGAGUUGAGAGACUGAUCGGCCACAUUGGGACUGAGACACGGCCCAAACUCCUACGGGAGGCAGCAGUU
rnacentral:rRNA from 1 species